AGGCCCCACUAAUGAUAAUGACAUAACAUAUGUUGUCCCUGUUACAGGAAAUGCAACUUCUGUAUAUCCUCCUCGUGAUGGAGAGGUCUUGGAACAGAUCAAUGGAGACCUGUGUCCAGGAGGCCACUACUGUCCGAUUGGGACAGCUCAGCCAAUACCCUGCCCCCCAGGCACCUUUCUGGGUGGAUAUGGUGGUCAAUCAGAGGCAGACUGUGAGGCUUGUCCGUCUGGAUUCUACUGCCCUUUGUGGGGGCAGACCACCACAGACCUCCACUGUCCCCAGGGUUGGUUCUGUCCAGUAGGCGCUGUAUCAGGGCAUCAACCAGAAUGUCAGUGCCCGUCUGGUCAUUCGUGCCCGUAUGGAAGUGCCAAGCCUGUCAUCUGUGCCCCUGGCACCUAUCAGUCUUUGACUGGUCAGUCUACAUGCAAGACCUGCCCACCAGGUUUUUAUUGUGUGGAGGGAACCUCUGUCCCAACACCAUGCCCAGCUGGCAGUGUGAGUCAGGCUGAGGGGAGAGCAUCUCAGAGGGAGUGUUCUCCAUGCCCUCCUGGGCUCUACUGCAACAGCAGUGCUCUCACCUCUCCCUCAGGACCCUGC